rnacentral:sRNA from 1 species
UAAUGGUUUUUGACUACCUGGAAAGUCC